rnacentral:misc_RNA from 1 species
UAUUACACAUGCACUUCCUCUCUUCGUAUUCUUAUUACUCACUCUGCUCCUUUUUAUACACAAUGAAGAUUUUGAGGUUUUCAUCCUUCAAUAUUUUAUCAAACAUGUUGCCUGUGAAGCUAAAGAACUGUUGCUUGGCACGACAUUUCAGGUGGGUUUGUGAUGUAUUUUACAUCCACCAUUUCGAAGGAAGCAAAUGCACUUCAAGUACUUUCUAGUUUUCCUCAAACACAAACAAGUAAAAAAUUUGAUUUACAUACUUCACUUCUAAAGCUAUACUCUGAUCUUAUUGAUCUUUUGGUUUGUAUAUAUAAUCCUGAAGCCCAAACAAGGUCUUGCAUUCUUUGACCCUUGUGCAUCCCAGUGUCCCCUUCAAAAUUGUUGAUAUUGAAAGGUCCAUAUUUGAUACACCAGUUAACUCUGGUUUUUAUGAUGUUGUAUAUUUGCAUGCAGUGAGGAUGACCUGCUUUGCACAGGUGAUUCGUGCUUCUCUGUUGCCGCUAUUGUCAUGUGGAUUCGGGAUUCAUUUGAUUUCUCUUAACAAAUUGAGUGCAAUCAAUUGUUCAUUCAAGCUUUCAGGAUACAUCUCAGGUCCUGAUCGUUACACA